AACGAACGCUGGCGGCAGGCCUAACACAUGCAAGUCGAACGGGUCUUCGGAUCUAGUGGAACGAACGCUGGCGGCAGGCCUAACACAGCAAGUCGAACGGGAUCUUCGGAUCUAGUGGAACGAACGCUGGCGCAGGCCUAACACAUGCAAGUCGAACGGGAUCUUCGGAUCUAGUGAACGAACGCUGGCGGCAGGCCUAACACAUGCAAGUCGAACGGGAUCUUCGGAUCUAGUGG
rnacentral:rRNA from 1 species